AGUGUUUUUUUAUCUAUUUUUUUCUUGGCUUUCGCGGUUUUCGUUUAGCCACAACGGAGUUUAUUUUUGAAGUUUCUAAAAAGAGUUAGAAUCAUAGAUAGUGUUUUGUUUUUCUUAACUUUUUAAUGAAUUUGGUGAUUAGGAGGUAAUUAUAAAAUAAAGUUACUUACCUUAAUAUUUCCUCGUAUCUACGCUUCUAACUACAGUUUUGUUAUUUUAAAUUCACAAAAUCGCAUUAAUACAGUGACUCAACGAAAAUGUAAACAAACUCGUUUGGACUGCAACCUCUUUGCAAGUGCCCACCUCGGACUCUGAACCUGGCACAAAACAAAAAAAAAAGACGUCAAAAUCGUUUGACAGCAAGAAUUUUGUGUUUUCGUGAUCUUGUGAACUUUGGCGGUAAAUACUAUAAGUUACUGAAGAAUAUUUUGGAGAAUGUUAACUGUGGCCUCUGGGAAAUUGACGAAGACAAUAACAAUUAAACGGCUGAAUGAGUUUGUGACCACUUUAGGCUGUGUGUUAGGCGAUAAACAUUAUCUGCCCACUUCUAAGCCGUGUGUGAAGAGGGAAUCCGAAGAAAAAGCAGAUGAAGAGCUCCGCUUCCCUUCCGUCUGGCGUGAUCGAGUGACGGCCACCAUCCACUUGUCGUCCACGCCGGAAGCCCGUAGCUUGAACAGCCUGUGACGUCACCUGUGAAGAGAGCGUGACGUCACGACUUGUGAUGACGUCGGAGAGGGUUGAUGAUGGAAAUAAAUUGAUAUGAGACUGAAAUAA